rnacentral:rRNA from 1 species
UACGUAGGGGCCGAGCGUUGUCCGGAUUUACUGGGCGUAAAGAGCGCGCAGGCGGUCGUAUAAGUCGAAUGUGAAAGCCCCCGGCUCAACUGGGGAGGGUCACGCGAUACUGAUCGACUCGAAGGCAGGAGAGGGUAGUGGAAUUCCCGGUGUAGUGGUGAAAUGCGUAGAUAUCGGGAGGAACACCAGUGGCGAAGGCGACUACCUGGCCUGUUCUUGACGCUGAGGCGCGAAAGCUAGGGGAGCAA